GACCUCGGAUCAGGUAGGGAUACCCGCUGAACUUAAGCAUAUCAAUAAGCGGAGGAAAAGAAACCAACAGGGAUUGCCUCAGUAACGGCGAGUGAAGCGGCAAAAGCUCAAACUUGAAAUCUGGCUCUUUCAGGGUCCGAGUUGUAAUUUGUAGAAGAUGCUUCGGGUGUGGUCCCGGUCUAAGUUCCUUGGAACAGGACGUCAUAGAGGGUGAGAAUCCCGUAUGUGACUGGGUACCUACGCUCAUGUGAAGCUCUUUCGACGAGUCGAGUUGUUUGGGAAUGCAGCUCAAAAUGGGUGGUAAAUUUCAUCUAAAGCUAAAUAUUGGCCAGAGACCGAUAGCGCACAAGUAGAGUGAUCGAAAGAUGAAAAGCACUUUGGAAAGGGAGUUAAACAGUACGUGAAAUUGUUGAAAGGGAAGCGC
rnacentral:rRNA from 1 species